rnacentral:rRNA from 1 species
GGUAAUAGCAGGGCCAGCGGCGGCGGGAAUAAGGGGGGGGGUAGCGUUAAUCCGAAUUACUGUGCGUGAAGCGCACGCAGGCGGUCUGUCCAGUCGGAUGUGAAAUCCCCGGUCUCAGCCUGGGAACUGCAGUCGAAACUGGCAGGCUAGAGUCUUGUAGAGGGGGGUAGAAUUCCAGGUGUAGCGGUGAAAUGCGUAGAGAUCUGGAGGAAUACCGGUGGCGAAGGCGGCCCCCUGGACAAAGACUGACGCUCAGGUGCGAAAGCGUGGGGAGCAAACAGGAUUAGAUACCCCAUAGUC